GCCGCGUGUCUGGGAAGCAUGGUGCCACGGUUGGGCGCAGCACCGCUGAGCAGCCUUCUAGGCUUUGGGUGAUGAUAAGGUUGCGGAGCCUUUCUCUAGCUUCUGGGGAGAUGAGAAGCAGAGCUGCAGGUUGCAGUUUAAAAGUAACGGAACCGCAAAAUGAGAAGAGAUGGAUGCAAGCAGGACCUGGGGGUGGUCACCAGAAAGCAGAGAUGGCGUGAUGUCCCGGCACAUCCACCUCAUAAGUUGUUCGAAGUUAAGUUGAACUAUCCAUGGUAUUGGCUGUGGACUUGUGAAACCCAUCAUCUUAAAAUAUUGACCUUAAGAAUUUUUGUGAUGAAAUUUCUGUAAAUGGUGCAGUCUCUGCUUCAGUUGGAAAAGGACCCUCUAGCAGCCACAUUGUGGCAGGCACCAUGGACCUGAACCCCAAGUGGAAUCUCUCAUGUUAUCUCCCCGUGGUGCCAGACGGGAUCUGCACGGUCCUGCUUCUGCUAAUGCCUAUGAGUUAAUCCCACCCAGAUAGAAUCAUAAGAAUUUUUUUGGAUUUCAUCCUCAAAAAUAGCCAAGGAAUUUGAGUGACUGAGAUCACCAUCACCACUUUUAGCAGCUAGUGAAGUUGGGGUAUAACUAAAAAUAUCUGGACUUCAGUUUAGGUGGUCUGAGUAUAAUCUCAUGUAUAGAUGGGACUUCGGUGAUUGUAAAUUGAAAUUGUUAAUGUGCAUACAUUGUUGUAGGAAGCUAAGGGGAAACAAUGCUUGUCCUCAAAAAGCAUUUCUCAGUGGAUUUCCUGUGAAGUCAUUGUUUAAAAUUUUGAAGCACAAUUAAAGGUUCUGUUUUGUUGUAUUUUUUAUUCACUAGCAAUGUGGAUUUCAGAUUGAGACACAAAGUAAGAACAUUAUUUGUUCUAUGAUUCAAGAGAACAUUCUUAGGAGUUUCACAGAAUUUGAUCUUUUUUUUUUUUUUUUUCUAUAUUUGUACCUGCUAAAGUGAUGAUAUACUGCAUGUAUUGCCACCCACAAACAUUGCUUUUUUUACCUUAAAUCUAAUAAAACACUGAUAAAGGUA